AAGAUGCAGUCUUUAGAGCAAAGCUAAGAUCAGGGCCUCUCCAAAUAUCUGAGACCACCCAGGUCAGAAAAACUCACACAUCCUUCUCUCUUGCAGCCAAAAUAACACCCCCAUCUGUCUAUCCACUGGCCCCUGUAUGUGGUGAUACAUCUGGAUCCUCGGUGACUCUGGGAUGCCUGGUCAAGGGCUAUUUCCCUGAGCCAGUUGGCGUCACCUGGAACUCUGGAUCACUGUCCAGCGGUGUGCACAUCUUCCCAGCUGUCCAGCAGUCUGGACUCUACUCCCUCAGCAGCUCAGUGACUGUAUCCUCCAGCACCUGGCCCAGCCAGACCGUCACCUGCAAUGUAGAACACAAGGCCAGCAAGACAAAGGUGGACAAGACCAUUGAACCCAGAGACCAUGGUCCAGUCAAACCCAUAUGCCCUACAUGUCCCAAAUGCCCAGCUCCUGAUCUCCCUGGUGGACCAUCUGUCUAUAUCUUCCCCCCAAAGCCCAAGGAUAUACUCCUGAUCUCCCAGAAUGCCAAAGUCACAUGUCUGGUGGUAGACGUGAGCGAGGAUGAGCCAGAUGUCCAGUUCAGCUGGUUUAUGGACAACAAAGAAGUACACACAGCUCAGACUCAGCCCCGUGAGGAGCAGUACAACAGCACCUUCCGGGUGGUCAGUGCCCUCCCCAUUGAGCACCGGGACUGGAUGGCUGGCAAGGAAUUCAAAUGCAAGGUCACCAACAAAGCCCUCCCAGGCCCCAUUGAGAGAAAAAUCUCAAAACCCACAGGGCUAGUCAGAGCACCACAGGUAUAUGUCUUGCCUCCACCAGCAGAGCAGAUGGCCAAGAAAGAGGUCAGUUUGACCUGCAUGAUCACAGGCUUCCUCCCUUCAGACAUCGAUGUGGAAUGGACCAGCAAUGGGCGUACAGAGCAGAACUACAAGAACACCCCACCAGUCCUGGACGCUGACGGUUCUUACUUCUUAUACAGCAAGCUCAAUGUGGCAAAGAGCAGAUGGGAACAAGGAAAUACUUUCCUCUGCUCAGUGGUACACAUGGGCCUGCACAAUCACCACACAACGAAGAGCAUCUCCCGGUCUCUGGGUAAAUGACCUCAGCACCCAGAAACCUCGCAGGUCCUAAGGGAUACUGACACCCAUCUCCAAGGUUCCCUUGUAUAAAUAAAGCACCCAGAACUGCCCUGGGACUAAGUAAAA